UACGAGGGGUGCAAGCGUUGCUCGGAAUUAUUGGGCGUAAAGGGUAGGUAGGUGGUCUCAUUUGUCCGGGGUGAAAGCCUUGAGCUUAACUCAAGAAGUGCCCCGGAAACGGUGAGACUCGAGUACUGGAGAGGGUCGUGGAAUUCCCGGUGUAGCGGUGAAAUGCGUAGAGAUCGGGAGGAACACCAGAGGCGAAGGCGGCGACCUGGACAGUUACUGACACUCAACUACGAAAGCGUGGGGAGCAAACAGG
rnacentral:rRNA from 1 species